CUCAAAGGAAUUGACGGGGGCCCGCACAAGCGGUGGAUGAUGUGGAUUAAUUCGAUGCAACGCGAAGAACCUUACCUACCCUUGACAUGCCAGGAACCCUGCUGAGAGGUGGGGGUGCCCGAAAGGGAAUCUGGACACAGGUGCUGCAUGGCUGUCGUCAGCUCGUGUCGUGAGAUGUUGGGUUAAGUCCCGCAACGAGCGCAACCCUUGCCAUUAGUUGCUACGAAAGGGCACUCUAAUGGGACUGCCGGUGACAAACCGGAGGAAGGUGGGGAUGACGUCAAGUCCUCAUGGCCCUUAUGGGUAGGGCUUCACACGUCAUACAAUGGUCGGUACAGAGGGUUGCCAACCCGCGAGGGGGAGCCAAUCCCACAAAGCCGAUCGUAGUCCGGAUCGCAGUCUGCAACUCGACUGCGUGAAGUCGGAAUCGCUAGUAAUCGCGGAUCAGCAUGCGGCGGUGAAUACGUUCCCGGGCCUUGUACACACCGCCCGUCACACCAUGGAG
rnacentral:rRNA from 1 species